rnacentral:rRNA from 1 species
CCUACGGGAGGCUGCAGUAGGGAAUCUUCGGCAAUGGGGGCAACCCUGACCGAGCAACGCCGCGUGAGUGAAGAAGGUUUUCGGAUCGUAAAGCUCUGUUGUAAGUCAAGAACGGGUGUGAGAGUGGAAAGUUCACACUGUGACGGUAGCUUACCAGAAAGGGACGGCUAACUACGUGCCAGCAGCCGCGGUAAUACGUAGGUCCCGAGCGUUGUCCGGAUUUAUUGGGCGUAAAGCGGGCGCAGGCGGUUUGAUAGGUCUGAAGGUAAAGGCUGUGGUUAAACCAUGGUUCGCCUUUGAAACUGUCAAGCUUGAGUGCAGAAGAGGAGAGUGGAAUUCCGUGUGUAGCGGUGAAAUGCGUAGAUAUAUGGAAGAACACCAGUGGCGAAAGCGGCUCUCUGGUCUGUAACUGACGCUGAGGCUCGAAAGCGUGGGGAGCGAACAGGAUUAGAUACCCCGGUAGUC